UACGUAGGGACCAAGCGUUGUUCGGAUUUACUGGGCGUAAAGGGCGCGUAGGCGGCGUGGUAAGUCACUUGUGAAAUCUCCGAAGCUUAACUCGGAACGGUCAAGUGAUACUGCUGUGCUAGAGUACAGAAGGGGCAAUCGGAAUUCUUGGUGUAGCGGUGAAAUGCGUAGAUAUCAAGAGGAACACCUGAGGUGAAGACGGGUUGCUGGGCGUGACUAACUGACGGCUGGAGGCGACGGAAAAGCUAGGGUAGCAAACGGGA
rnacentral:rRNA from 1 species